rnacentral:rRNA from 1 species
AUUGAACGCUGGCGGCGUGCCUAACACAUGCAAGUCGAGCGAUUCUCUUCGGAGAAGAGCGGCGGACGGGUGAGUAACGCGUGGGUAACCUGCCCUGUACACACGGAUAACAUACCGAAAGGUAUGCUAAUACGAGAUAAUAUGCUUUUAUCGCAUGGUAGAAGUAUCAAAGCUUUUGCGGUACAGGAUGGACCCGCGUCUGAUUAGCUAGUUGGUAAGGUAACGGCUUACCAAGGCGACGAUCAGUAGCCGACCUGAGAGGGUGAUCGGCCACAUUGGAACUGAUACACGGUCCAAACUCCUACGGGAGGCAGCAGUGGGGAAUAUUGCACAAUGGGCGAAAGCCUGAUGCAGCAACGCCGCGUGAGCGAUGAAGGCCUUCGGGUCGUAAAGCUCUGUCCUCAAGGAAGAUAAUGACGGUACUUGAGGAGGAAGCCCCGGCUAACUACGUGCCAGCAGCCGCCGUAACAC